rnacentral:rRNA from 1 species
AGUGAACGCUGGCGGUAGGCCUAACACAUGCAAGUCGAACGGCAGCACAGGAGAGCUUGCUCUCUGGGUGGCGAGUGGCGGACGGGUGAGGAAUACAUCGGAAUCUACUUUUUCGUGGGGGAUAACGUAGGGAAACUUACGCUAAUACCGCAUACGACCUACGGGUGAAAGCAGUGGAUCUUCGGACCUUGCGCGAUUGAAUGAGCCGAUGUCGGAUUAGCUGGUUGGCGGGGUAAAGGCCCACCAAGGCGACGAUCCGUAGCUGGUCUGAGAGGAUGAUCAGCCACACUGGAACUGCGACACGGUCCAGGCUCCUACGGGAGGCAGCAGUGGGGAAUAUUGGACAAUGGGCGGAAGCCUGAUCCAGCCAUACCGCGUGGGUGAAGAAGGCCUUCGGGUUGUAAAGCCCUUUUGUUGGGAAAGAAAUCCAUCUGGUUAAUACCCGGGUGGGAUGACGGUACCCAAAGAAUAAGCACCGGCUAACUUCGUGCCAGCCGCCGCAGAA